GACGAACGCUGGCGGCGUGCUUAACACAUGCAAGUCGAACGGAAAGGCCCUGCUUUUGUGGGGUGCUCGAGUGGCGAACGGGUGAGUAACACGUGAGUAACCUGCCCUUGACUUUGGGAUAACUUCAGGAAACUGGGGCUAAUACCGGAUAGGAGCUCCUGCUGCAUGGUGAGGGUUGGAAAGUUUCGGCGGUUGGGGAUGGACUCGCGGCUUAUCAGCUUGUUGGUGGGGUAGUGGCUUACCAAGGCUUUGACGGGUAGCCGGCCUGAGAGGGUGACCGGCCACAUUGGGACUGAGAUACGGCCCAGACUCCUACGGGAGGCAGCAGUGGGGAAUAUUGCACAAUGGGCGGAAGCCUGAUGCAGCAACGCCGCGUGCGGGAUGACGGCCUUCGGGUUGUAAACCGCUUUCGCCUGUGACGAAGCGUGAGUGACGGUAAUGGGGAAAGAAGCACCGGCUAACUACGU
rnacentral:rRNA from 1 species